rnacentral:tRNA from 1 species
GCCGAUGUAGCUCAGUGGUAGAGCAACUGUUUUGUAAACAGUAGGUCGUCGGUCCGAUCCCGACCAUCGGCUCCC